UAAAUCAAAUGCAGCUUAUCAAAUAUUUUUAUAUACAUUUUUAUUGCGAGUUUCAGUUAUGCGCUGCUUAAGUUGUUUUUACAUUUACCGUUAGGGCCAGUCUCUGGACGCUGUUUGUUUUUGUGCGCGUCGUACUCAUUGAAAUGACAAACUAAUAAUAAUAAAAAAAAAUCAAAUUGGAUUAUCGCCAAGCCCCGUGCUAAUGUUGGCCGACACUGCCACACUUAUGGCCACAUUUCUGCAAUCCAAUUGGAACAAUAACAAGAACUGCCCCUAGCUAACAAUUUAAUUGCCAUUGCACAAAAACUGUUUGUGCUGAUAAGAAGAGGCCAGAACACAUCGUGGAAAACCCUUACACCCAACCUUAAGCCCCUCUGCCAUCCACCAACAAGGGAUAGUUCAACAUGUCUACCCAAUCGCUAUAUCGCUGCCUCUUGCCUCACGUCCCGCCACUUCGAGCAACGUAGAGUUUCUUCUGUUUUGUCUCAUAUUCUUCCAACAAAAUUGUGGCAAUUGCAACAACAACAACAACAACAAAUAUAAUAAUAAUAAGAACAAAGUCUUGUGAAAAUUCCUGCCAACAGCAACAAGUGAAACGCAAAGAAGAAAAAAAAAACAUUUAAAAACUAAAUAUAACAAAUCAAAAACAACAACAAACUACACUGAGAGAAACGCUCGAGCGUGUUUGGUGCCGUUUUGUGGUCUUGUUACUUCGUGAUUUCGUCGCCGUCGUCAGCGUUUGCCGCCGACGGAGGAGGACGAGAGACGCGAAGCAACGAGCCGUAGCCAAAGCCUCAACACGGACGCAUUUAUGGAUGCGGGCGGCCUGCCAGUGUUCCAGAGCGCCAGCCAAGCAGCAGCAGCCGCCGUCGCCCAGCAGCAACAACAACAGCAGCAGCAACAGCAACAACAGCAG
rnacentral:sRNA from 1 species